GACGUAGGGAGCAAGCGUUGUCCGGAUUUACUGGGCGUAAAGCGCGCGUAGGCGGUCUGUUAAGUGAGAAGUGAAAGCUCCGGGCUCAACUCGGAAACCGCUUUUCAUACUGGCAGACUGGAGUGAUGCAGAGGUGGAUGGAAUUCCCGGUGUAGCGGUGAAAUGCGUUGAUAUCGGGGGGAACACCCGUGGCGAAGGCGGUCCACUGGGCAUCAACUGACGCUGAGGCGCGAAAGCGUGGGUAGCAAACAGG
rnacentral:rRNA from 2 species